UACGAAGGGUGCGAGCGUUAAUCGGAAUUACUGGGCGUAAAGCGCGCGUAGGUGGUCGAGUAAGCGAUAGGUGAAAUCCCCGGGCUUAACCUGGGAACUGCCUGUCGAACUGCUGGGCUAGAGUAUGGUAGAGGGGUGUGGAAUUUCCUGUGUAGCGGUGAAAUGCGUAGAUAUAGGAAGGAACAUCAGUGGCGAAGGCGACACCCUGGACCGAUACUGACACUGAGGCGCGAAAGCGUGGGUAGCGAACAGG
rnacentral:rRNA from 1 species